CUCGCGCAUGGCGCUCGGGCAUGCAUCUAGUCUACUCAGUUUAUUGUCAUAAUAAUAAACUGAGUAGACUCGAUGCAUGCCCGAGCGCCACUCGCGA
rnacentral:miRNA from 1 species